GUCUAGGCGAAGAAUAUCCAUUUGCAAAUUGUAAGUGGCUGCGGUUUCAUAAGUGAAUGAGUUGAUCUCAGGGAAAACAGUCGGGGUCUCAAAAUAUAUUGUCCGUAUUGGAAAUGAGUUUUCACCAUCAGCAACAUCUUGUGAACUACUUUCUUCCGCUUUAUGCAGAACAUAGCCUGCUCUCAGUAGGUGAAGCAAAACAGUAGAAUCUUUUCCUCCGUUGAAGCUCAAUGCAACCUCUUGUAUGGAAUACAGAGCGAGUGCUCGUUUGAUAACAUAUAUGGCAUUAGAAUACUU
rnacentral:misc_RNA from 1 species